GAUGAACGCUAGCGGCAGGCUUAACACAUGCAAGUCGAGGGGCAGCACGGGUAGCAAUACCUGGUGGCGACCGGCGCAAGGGUGCGUAACGCGUGAGCAACAUGCCCUAUACAGGGGGAUAAUCCAGGGAAACUUGGUCUAAUAUCCCAUAGUAUUUAGAGGAGGCAUCUUCUAUAAAUUAAAGCUUCGGUGGUAUAGGAUUGGCUCGCGUGACAUUAGCUAGAUGGUGAGGUAACGGCUCACCAUGGCAAUGAUGUCUAGGGGUUCUGAGAGGAAGGCCCCCACCACUGGGACUGAGACACGGCCCACGACUCCUACGGGAGGCAGCAGUGAGGAAUAUUGGUCAAUGGGCGGCAAGCCUGAACCAGCCAUCCGCGUGCAGGAAGACGGCCCUAUGGGUUGUAAACUGCUUUUCCAGGGAGAGAAACUUACGCACGUGUUGCGUGACUGACGGUACCCUGGGAAUAAGCAUCGGCUAACUCCGUGCC
rnacentral:rRNA from 1 species